GAUGAACGCUAGCGGCAGGCUUAACACAUGCAAGUCGAGGGGCAGCGCGGGAUAGCAAUAUCCUGGCGGCGACCGGCGGAAGGGUGCGUAACGCGUGAGCGACAUGCCCGUUGCCCGGGGACAACCGGUGGAAACGCCGACUAAUCCCCGAUGGGAUAUUGUGCCGCAUGGCACGAUAUUGAAAGUUACGGCGGCGACGGAUUGGCUCGCGUCCGAUUAGCUGGUUGGCGGGGUAACGGCCCACCAAGGCUGCGAUCGGUAGGGGUUCUGAGAGGAAGGCCCCCCACAAUGGGACUGAGACACGGCCCAUACUCCGACGGGAGGCAGCAGUGAGGAAUAUUGGUCAAUGGGCGGAAGCCUGAACCAGCCAGGCCGCGUGCGGGAAGGAGGCCCUAUGGGCUGUGAACCGCUUUUGCCUGGGGGCAAUAAGGGCGUCGCGCACGUCCGAUGAGAGUACCAGGCGAAUAAGCAUCGGCUAACUCCGUG
rnacentral:rRNA from 1 species